CCUACGGGAGGCAGCAGUGAGGAAUAUUGGUCAAUGGACGAGAGUCUGAACCAGCCAAGUAGCGUGAAGGAUGACUGCCCUAUGGGUUGUAAACUUCUUUUAUAUGGGAAUAAAACGUUCCACGUGUGGGAUUUUGUAUGUACCAUAUGAAUAAGGAUCGGCUAACUCCGUGCCAGCAGCCGCGGUAAUACGGAGGAUCCGAGCGUUAUCCGGAUUUAUUGGGUUUAAAGGGAGCGUAGGUGGAUUGUUAAGUCAGUUGUGAAAGUUUGCGGCUCAACCGUAAAAUUGCAGUUGAAACUGGCAGUCUUGAGUACAGUAGAGGUGGGCGGAAUUCGUGGUGUAGCGGUGAAAUGCUUAGAUAUCACGAAGAACUCCGAUUGCGAAGGCAGUUCACUGGACUGCAUCUGACACUGAGGCUCGAAAGUGUGGGUAUCAAACAGGAUUAGAUACCCUUGUAGUC
rnacentral:rRNA from 1 species